rnacentral:rRNA from 1 species
AUUGAACGCUGGCGGCAGGCCUAACACAUGCAAGUCGAACGAGUGGCGGACGGGUGAGUAAUGUCUGGGAAUCUGGCUGAUGGAGGGGGAUAACUACUGGAAACUGUAGCUAAUACCGCGUACCAUAGGAUGAGCCCAAAUGGGAUUAGGUAGUUGGUGGGGUAAAGGCUCACCUAGGCGACGAUCCCUAGCUGGUCUGAGAGGAUGACCAGCCACACUGGAACUGAGACACGGCCCAGACUCCUACGGGAGGCAGCAGUGGGGAAUAUUGCGCAAUGGGGGCAAGCCUGACGCAGCCAUGCCGCGUGAAUGAAGAAGGCCUUCGGGUUGUAAAGUACUUUCGGUGGGGAGGCGUUAACCGCAGAAGAAGCACCGGCUAACUCCGUGCCAGCAGCCGCGGUAAUUC